GUGAGUAAUUCUUUGGCAGUGUCUUAGCUGGUUGUUGUGAGUAUUAGCUAAGGAAGCAAUCAGCAAGUAUACUGCCCUAGAAGUGCUGCAC
rnacentral:pre_miRNA from 7 species